UACGUAGGGAGCAAGCGUUGUCCGGAAUCAUUGGGCGUAAAGCGCGCGUAGGUGGUCCCGUAAGUCCGCUGUGAAAGUCAAAGGCUCAACCUUUGAAAGCCGGUGGAUACUGUGGGACUAGAUGUACGGAAGAGGCGAGUGGAAUUCCUGGUGUAGCGGUGGAAUGCGCAGAGUAAUCAGGAGGAACACCGGUCGGCGAAGGCGGGUCUCUGGGCCGGUA
rnacentral:rRNA from 1 species